AUAUCAAUAAGCGGAGGAAAAGACACCAACAGGGAUUCCCUUAGUAACGGCGAGUGAAAAGGGAGAAGCGCAACAUGGGAAUCGGGCCGCAAGGUUCGAGUUGUAGGUUGCAUUGCUUGCCUUGGAUGAAGCGGCGUGUAAGUCUCUUGGAAUAGAGCAGCACAGAGGGUGAUACUCCCGUAACGCGCUGCAGAGUCUGUGAUGGCAAGUAAUAGGCGAGUCGAGUUGUUUGGGAAUGCAGCUCCAACGGGUGGUAAACUCCAUCCAACGCUAAAUACUGGUGAGAGACCGAUAGCAAACAAGUACCGUGAGGGAAAGAUGAAAAGCACCUUGAAAAGGGCGUUAAAAGAAUGUGAAAUCGUUAAGGGGGAAGCGUUGCCAGCGAGUGCAGUAUAAUGCAGAUCAUGUACUCUAUUAGGGUGCUGCACUGUGUGUUGUACUGGUCCACGUCAGUUUUGGUUGCUGGAUAAUCUCUCUGGAAGGUAGCGUUCUCGGACGUGUUAAGCCAGGGAGGGCGCAGUGACUGGGACUGAGGACCGCCGUGCACGUUUGCGGGGCCUUCUAUCUCUGGGAUAUUGCCAGCUGGUGCAUCUUUGAUGAGCUAGUUG
rnacentral:rRNA from 1 species